rnacentral:lncRNA from 1 species
AUUUGGUUGAGUAAGGGAAGACUUUUAUUCAAGUGGGUCAAGAGGUUCAAAAUCCAUGAUCUUUUAAAGUGGUUUACUCUCAAAACAAGUAGCUUUGACAUUGCACAUAAUAUAUCUAAGAAAGGGACCAACUCAUGCAUACAAUGCUCAAUCUCCAUUGUUCUACCCUUUUCCCAAACAUACAAGUUACACAAUCACUUCCCAAUGUCAAACCCAACUCUCAUCUCUCACCAAAAGAUCCCAAGAAUACUUUACACAUAAAACUCUUUUUCUUUGAAAUCUAUAAAGGAUUUUCUCAACUUCUAAACAAAUCUUAGCUCUAAACAACUUUGCUAGCCUCCUUUUCUUUCUUUUUCUCUUUUUUUUUUUAUUUUUUUCGGGGGCCAAGACUUUUCAUAAACUCGAGCUAGACGUUUAUCUAUUAAUUCCAAUAAGAUUAUCCAUUUAAACACAAAGAGUCUAUUCUUUUCCUUCGAACUUUUCAUGCUUCCAAACCCUAGU